CUGAAUGAUGAUAUCCUACUAACCAGGCAGUCAGUAAUUGGUCCUUUGGUGUAUGAUGUAGUAAUUGUUGUAAAAGAUGGGAGGGAUGAGAAA
rnacentral:snoRNA from 1 species